CACUUUGGGCGUGGGCGCGUGUGUGGAAUGGGUGGAGGUGGCGCUGUCCAUGGGCAUCCCUGACCUGCGCCGCCCAGAGAUGAUAAAUAGCCAAAGACGUCAAUGGUACUCAUGGACACAAUCCGGUGUCAAAAGUGAGGAUCCAAAGUAAAACUCCAGUGACCCUCAGGAUCACCAGGUGACCGGGAGGCAAGAGACAGAGAGAAGAAAGAAAGAUUGAUUUACUCGAACUCAGCAUUAGAAACAUCUUACUCACCUCAGACCUACAGAAUCAAAUUCUCAGGGCUGGAGGCCCAGCAUCUGCAGUUGUAACCAAGUUUCCAGUGUCCUCAUGAGGGAGCCUUAGAGAGUGGAGAAAGUCUCGGUUCAUCAUGAUAGCACCUCGGCGGUGAACUCACGUGAACAGGGAUUGCAAGGCCAGGACCCUGAAAUUUGCCCAACUCGGAGACCCUGAGGAUGCCCCAGGGACCUGGGUCCUUCUUCCUCAAAACAGAAGGGAGUUUCAAAUGAGAUUGGACCAUGACAACAGUGACUAUCAUUAUCUAGAUGACAAUCUUAAGAAAUUUCCCUGAGAGGGCUCCGCCCUGUACCCUAUACUUGGGGAAGGAAUGCUGAUGUCACAAAGCUUCCAUAAAAAUCCAAAAGGACUGGGUCCAGAGGGCUUUUGGAGAGCUGGACAUGUGGAGGCCGACAGGAAGGUGAAGAAGCCAUCCGCGUGCUGUGAGGGUGGCACACCCCAACUCCAUGGGGACAGAGGGUCCUGCAUUUAGGACCCUUCCAGACCUCACCUCAUCCACACACUGUGAGGGUGUUGCACACCAACUCCACGGGGACAGAAGGUCCUGCAUUUAGGACCCUUCCAGACCUCACACCUAUGUAUCUCUUCAUCUGGCUGAUUACUUAUAUCCUUUCAAAGACCCUUCUUAGUAAACUGGUAAACGUUAAAUGUUUCUCUGAGUUCUGUGAGCCACUCUAGCAAAUUAAUCAACCCCAAAGAGGGCGAAUGGUGACCUCAACUUGAAGCCAGUUGGUCACAAGUUUCAGAGGCCCAAACUUACAACUAGGAGGAAGAAAGGAACAGUCUUGGGGACUGAGCCUUCAACUUGCAGGAUGGGACACUCUCUCUAGGUGGACAGUGUUGGAAUUGAAUUGGGGGACACCCAGCCACUUGGCGGUGGGCGAGAAUCUGCACACAUUUGGUCACAGAAGUCUCCUGGGGUGAAUGUUGUGUGGUGAGAGUGGAGGAGAAACACAGUUUGAGGGUUGUUUUUCUGAUACAAAAUGAAAAUAUAAUUUAAAUACAUCUGGAAAAUAGAUAUGUCUUUAUUAACACCGUUCUCAAUUUGUCAAAUUUCCAAUGAAAGAAAGGUCUAUUUUGUGAAUUUAAGGAUUUAAAGCCAGGCAAUAAUAGAUUUAAAUACAAAAGUGUAGAGGUGUCAUUAUUAUACAUUUUCUUCCUAAGUGAGUAUGAUGAACUUUAUCGGUUGAAAGAUCGCUGCUGAGAGUCAACGGCACUGAGUCAUAUUUUAACCUUUAGAAUAUGACAGAAUAAACCAUUAGCUGUAACCUUAUUCAUAUUGUUUCUGUGGUUGUCAGAGUCUGCCACAGAGUCCCAGCACCUCCCUUCGUCAUUCCAAAACAUCACAUUUAGUCUUAAUUUCUACUGCCACUUCAUCUGAGAUAGGACUCUUUUGUCUGUGCUAACACUGACAGGUUUUCAAACUGUCUUUUUAAACAUUAGACUUUGUAUUUGUAAGGCCCCUUUCCACUGCUAGAGCCACUGGAAUUGCACUUUGAAGUUUGCAUAUAACCCUUUAUUAGUCUUAAUAUGUGAGGAUCCUAAAUAUACACUAAGACAUAAAGAAUUUCUUCCAUUCAGACAAUACCCUCAAUCCUGUGAAGCAGGGAGUGAACCCAGACAUGAAGCAGGGAGGAGGAAGUAGCUGGAUGGUCAGAUGGAGCCAUUCCUCCAUGAGGUGUUCAAAAUGAUUUGUUAUACCUCCAGUGAAUUUAUAGGAAUCCUUGCUGAUUGAAGUAAUAAACUUUGUCAAUGAUAUAAAAAAGAAAUUUUGGAAAAACAGGCUGAAUGUCAGAUGCAGACACAAUACCACCAUUGAUUAUGAUGUUAAAUUAUAUGGGGGUUGUCACACAUGUCAAGGGACCACUGGUCUUCAUCCACUGUUAAAAGUCACCCUAAUGGAUAGUCUUUUUGGCAUGCAAAGUGGUUCAGGAUGUUUGACAAACAGAGAGCCAAAUCAUGAGUGAACUCCCAUUCACAAUUGCUUCAAAGAGAAUAAAAUACCUAGGAAUCCAACUUACAAGGGAUGUGAAGGACCUCUUCAAGGAGAACUACAAACCACUGCUCAAUGAAAUAAAAGAGGAUACAAACAAAUGGAAGAACAUUCCAUGCUCAUGGGUUGGAAGAAUCAAUAUCGUGAAAAUGGCCAUACUGCCCAAGGUAAUUUAUAGAUUCAAUGCCAUCCCCAUGAAGCUACCAAUGACUUUCUUCACAGAAUUGGAAAAAACUACUUUAAAGUUCAUAUGGAACCAAAAAAGAGCCCGCAUUGCCAAGUCAAUCCUAAGCCAAAAGAACAAAGCUGGAGGCAUCACGCUACCUGACUUCAAACUAUACUACAAGGCUACAGUAACCAAAACAGCAUGGUACUGGUACCACAACAGAGACAUAGAUCAAUGGAACAGAACAGAGCCCUCAGAAAUGAUGCCACAUAUCUACAACUAUCUGAUCUUUGACAAACCUGACAAAAACAAGAAAUGGGGAAAGGAUUCCCUAUUUAAUAAAUGGUGCUGGGAAAACUGGCUAGCCAUAUGUAGAAAGCUGAAACUGGAUCCCUUCCUGACACCUUAUACAAAAGUUAAUUCAAGAUGGAUUAAAGACUUAAAUGUUAGACCUAAAACAUUAAAAUCCUACAAGAAAACCUAGGCAAUACCAUUCAGGACAUAGGCGUGGGCAGGAUGUUUGUAUUGGCUAUUUGUCUUAGAACUAAGCAGAUUUUCCACAAGGCUGGUCUAAGAGUUAGGGUGUGUAGUAUGAACAGUGUAAGAAAAUUUAUUGGAUACUAUUUUGCACUGUUUCACUCCAUACUGAAUUUGUUAUGUCAGAGGCUUUCACUCUUGAUUUUUUUCCUGAGUUUUAAAAUCCAUAAAGUGUGAGAAAAGAACAAAAUCUUUUUGUAGUCUACAACUGCUAACAAACUAAUCUCAGAAAUCCCUUUGAAUACCAACAUAAGUGUGACCUACAUCAAUGUAUAUGGACUCAGGGUCUAAUUCAGCUCAGGGAUGUACCUGUGUUGGAUACUGAAUGGAUAUUGCAUCUCUGUGAAACCUGCUCUGGCAUCACGGUGUCUUAACAUUAAUCACAAAAAAAGUUAUUUUGAUUUUCUGCUGAGCUUUGGUUAAUUUUACUGACAAUAGAUGCAUUACAAAAGAAAGGAGCUCUUUGAAAAACUGAAAAUUUAAUAGGAAAUUUUAUUAAAUACAUCAUUUUGAUUUGCAACCUUAUUAUAAAAUUUGAAAAGUUCAUAUUCUACGUUUGAAUUGUCCAUAUGUUUCCUUAAUAAGCUGCAAUAAAAAUAGAAUAUAAAAAGUAUGCAGCUUCUCAUCACUUUUAUCUUUAAUUUAAUUAGACUUCUCUGGCUUGGUAAAUCAUACAAACCCAUUAAUAUUGAUCCUAGCAUGUGUGGUUUUUUCCUAGCUUUUUGUUGAAUUCUAUUAUUUUUAAAAUAUGCUUUCUUAUUAAUUAUCAAAAACUACUUACAUGUCUCUUUUCAUUCUAGUUUACUCAUAUUGUUUUAUAACAAGAAAAGAGAAGAAAUUUGUCGAUAUUAGAGGGAAGUUUUGUUUAGGUUAAACAGGGGGUAAUUCGAAUUGAAGAUAAAAUAUAUACCCACUCUAGAUAUGGAGUUCUGACCUCCUCUGAUUAGUAGUUGGGACUGAGGUGGAGUUGAGGUAGGGACUGUAAUUCCACAGUUCUUUGAUAGACCUUGACCUGCAAUGGGUGAGAUAAAGGAAAUGCGGUCUUCUUGCAGUUCAGGAAGCCUGACUCCUAUUCAUGCGCAUAACUCCAUCUAGAACAGAAGCAGUGUUGUUUGUUUAUUUUGGAUUCAGGUUUCUCAGUGUAUUUUCUGAAUAAAUAAUGCAAUUAAUUAGUUCUAAUUUUCAGAAUUUUCCUAUUUGCUUUAAAAAAUAUUUGUGCAUGUGUGUGUGUGUAUAUAUAUAUAUAUAUACAAUUCUUUGGGUUUAGGGAAUUUAUUUUCUUGUAUACUUAUAUAUAAUAUAAAUUGGUCUUACUUUAUAUUUGGAAACUGCAUAAAUUGAGGUAGUUGCUUGUCACAAAAA